rnacentral:rRNA from 1 species
GUUUGAUCCUGGCUCAGAGCGAACGUUAGCGGCAGGCUUAACACAUGCAAGUCGAGCGAGAAAAGGGGCUUCGGCUCCGAGUAAAAGCGGCGGACGGGUGCGUAACACGUGGAUAAUCUGCCUCGUGGCGGGGGACAACAGUCCGAAAAGGACUGCUAAUACCGCAUGUCAGGUCGGAAACUCCGGUUUCUGACGAAAAAGAGGGCGUCCGCAAGGAGCUCUCACCACGAGAUGAGUCCGCGUCCCAUCAGCUAGUUGGCGGUGUAAUGGACCACCAAGGCUUAGACGGGUAGCUGGUCUGAGAGGAUGACCAGCCACACUGGGACUGAGACACGGCCCAGACUCCUACGGGAGGCAGCAGUGGGGAAUAUUGGACAAUGGGCGAAAGCCUGAUCCAGCCAUGCCGCGUGAGUGAUGAAGGCCUCGGUCGGUAA